rnacentral:rRNA from 1 species
GGCCAGACUCCUACGGGAGGCAGCAGUGAGGAAUAUUGGUCAAUGGGCGGGAGCCUGAACCAGCCAAGUCGCGUGAGGGAAGACGGUCCUACGGAUUGUAAACCUCUUUUGCCGGGGAGCAACGGGGUCCUUGCGAGGGCCCGAUGAGAGUACCCGGAGAAAAAGCAUCGGCUAACUCCGUGCCAGCAGCCGCGGUAAUACGGAGGAUGCGAGCGUUAUCCGGAUUUAUUGGGUUUAAAGGGUGCGCAGGCGGAAGUUCAAGUCAGGGUUAAAAUUGGGGGGCUCAACCUCUUCGAGCCGUUGAAACUGGUUUUCUUGAGUGAGCGAGAAGUAUGCGGAAUGCGUGGUGUAGCGGUGAAAUGCAUAGAUAUCACGCAGAACUCCGAUUGCGAAGGCAGCCUACUAAACUGCCACUGACAUUGAUGCUCGAAAGUGUGGGUAUCAAACAGGAUUAGAUACCCCGGUAC